rnacentral:rRNA from 1 species
UACGUAGGGUGCGAGCGUUAAUCGGAAUUACUGGGCGUAAAGCGUGCGCAGGCGGUUUUGUAAGUCAGAUGUGAAAAGCCCCCGGGCUCAACCCGGGAAGUGCACUCGAUACUGCGAAGCUUGAGUACUGGAGAGGUUGGUGGAAUUCUCGGUGUAGAGGUGAAAAUUCGUAGAUAUCGAGAGGAACACCGGUGGCGAAGGCGGCCAACUGGACAGAUACUGACGUGAGACACGAAAGCGUGGGGGAGCAAAACAGG